UAUCGAGUCUUUCCGUUGAUG
rnacentral:siRNA from 1 species